GACGACGGGGGCUAGCGUUGUUCGGAAUUACUGGGCGUAAAGCGCGUGUAGGUGGUUGUCAUAGUCAGGCGUGAAAGCCUUGAGCUCAACUCAAGAAAUGCGCUUGAUACUGGGCAGCUAGAGGACCGGAGAGGAUAGUGGAAUUCCCAGUGUAGUGGUGAAAUACGUAGAGAUUGGGAAGAACACCAGUGGCGAAGGCGGCUAUCUGGACGGUUUCUGACACUAAGACUCGAAAGCGUGGGGAGCAAACAGG
rnacentral:rRNA from 1 species